rnacentral:tRNA from 1 species
GCGGGAGUGGCGAAAUGGGUAGACGCGUUAGACUUAGGAUCUAAUAUUUUAGAAGUAUGCGGGUUCAACUCCCGCCUCCCGUA